rnacentral:lncRNA from 1 species
AGAGUAUUUUCUUUCUUGUCCAGAUUAGCUAAAUUGGAUUGUUCUAUGCUAAAUUCACUUAAUCACUACUCUAUUAUUUUUGAAUUUUUUAGUUCUGUUUUUUUCACUUGGUUCUUUUUUUAAAAAAACUUCUACUACCUUUCUGAGACUUCUACUUUUUUACUUUUUUCAAGAAGCUUUAUAAUUACUUGCUAAAGCAUUUUUACCAUGACUGUUUUUAACUUCUUCAGAUAACCACAACAUUUGGUUAAUCUUGAGGUUGGCUUGGUUAACUGUCUUUUCUCAUCCUGCUUAUGAUUUUCCUUCUAAUUGUGAUUUUUCCGGUUCUUGAUAGAUGGGUGAUGUUUUAGUUUAUCCUGCAUUUUUUUUUCCUUUUUAAGUUAGAGGAAUCUGAAUCUAUUCAAAUGUUUUAUUUUAGCAGGCAUGUGCCCUGUUUAGGUUUAAUUUGAAUGUCCUGUCCUACUUUUGUAGGCCAUGUUUUCGCAGGCAGUCUUGCUAUCAGAGCUGAGGGGAUGCUGUUUUGAUCACUUAGUUUAUCUGAUGUUGCUGGGCCUCCAACUGGUGCUGACUGGUACUUCCUGAGAUGGCGAAGGUUUUUCUGUACUCUGAGAUGCCGUGUAUCUCUAUGUAAGGGGAGGAGACUCUGGACCACAGGAAUGAAGAGAACAUCUUAGGUCAGGCAGCUCAAUCAUAUGCGAUAACCUGGGUCAACCAGCCAGUAGCCUCAUGAAGUAUGGGAGGGAAUUCUCCAGUGUCAGCAUUCAAAGACAUCAUGAGUUUUUACUUCUCAUUUUCUUUUAAGUGAAAUAAUCGCAUGGAAAUUAAAGAAUAAAUAUAUGAAAUAUAUGAAACUUAUAUGAAAUAUAAGAAUGUGAGAAGGCCUACAGCGUGGGGAUCCCCAGGCUAUUUGAACAAUGAAUGUCUGUGUUACACAUCUUUGCUCACUUUUUCUCUAUUUUUGUAGUUCAUUGUGGAACCAGCACAGAUUUUCAUACGAAAGUUAUUUCUUUUUAACCUCAAAAAGUGACAGAAUGGAGUGUAUCAUGAAAAAGUCUGACAUCAAAACCUCAAAAUGUGAUAUUGAUUGGGUGAGAUAGAAUUCCAUGGAAUUUCAUUGCCAAACCAGUGAAGUGCUAAUUUUGACAUUUGUACCAGCUAACGUAGCUGUGAAGAAACACACCAAUACACUUCUAAGGACAGCAUAGACCAAGAUCUAGGUUUCAUAUGGAUGAAUUUAUUCUUCCCUUUGAGGCAAGACAAGAAGGAAAGAAAGUAUUGGGAAUAAUGCUGCCCUCCCAUCCUCAAGGGCCAGUGGGAACUCUAAUAUUGAUUGGGUGAGAUACAAUUCCAUGGAAUUUUACCACUGAACCAGUGGAGGGCUAAUUUUGUCAUUUGUACCAGUUAACUAACUUGGGAGGAAACAGAACAACACACUCCUGAGAUUGGUUUUCACAGAAUUCCAUGGACUUUAACUGCUGAACCAAUGAUGCACUGAUUUUGUCACUUGUACCAGCUAACGCAUCUGGGAGGCAACAAAACAAUACUCUCCUGAGGUUAAUGUGGACCAAAAACUAGAUUUCAUAUAAAAGAGUUUAUUCCUUCUACUUGAGGUGUGACAUGAAGGAAAGUAAUGGAAAUAAUUCUGCCCUCCCAUUCUCAAGGGCCAGGGGGAAUUCAAAUAUUGAACGGAAGUGAUUUUGGAAUUGCAUGGAAUUCUCACUGCCAUCCCAAAGAAAUGCUGAUCUUGUCACUCUUACCUGUUUCAUUCCCUGGGGGCAGAACAAAAGGACGCACUCCAAAGAUCGGCAUGAACCAAGAACUGGGUUUCAUAUAAAAUAUUUUAUUCUGUCCUCUUGAGAUGUGACAUGAGAAAAGUAUUGAGAAUACUUCUAUCACCUCAUCUUCAAGAAUCCGUAGGAAUUCUCCCAUGGUAAGCAUUUUGUCCUGAAAAUACUGGCAUUCCUCUUAGGAGAUCGUGACACUCCAAUGACCAUGAGACCCUGGCCAUGCUAGUCAGCCAUUGGCCAGUCAUUGACUGUGAUGCCAGUCUCCAUAAUUGAAUGAAUAGUGUGGGUCAGUGUACCCCAAGCUGAUGGAAAGCUGUGUGCUCAGUGUCUGUCACAUAUCCCAGGCUUAAGGUACCUUUUAUAAAUGUACCUGGAUUGACGAUGACUUUAAAAAAAAAAAAUCUCAUUGAAAUCUGAAAAAAAUGAGUGACCAAACCACUUCUGUGAGCUGAGGUCCAGCACACAUGAUAGGCAAACGUGGAGGGAUGUGGAUGGUCAGUGCCCACAGGGACUGGGGUAUUUGAAAGCUAAUCUGCCUGCGUAUGUUAGAGGAAAUGAAUUGGACAGUCAUCUAUAAAUAUCGUAUUUUUUAAUAAAAUGGCUAUUCCUUUGGUGCUUGGCUGGUAGCAUCCAUCCACUGGUAGUAAAUAGACCCUGGAAAACCAGCACAUAUGUAGUGAGACCCCAUGAGACAUGAUUGUGCCUACCUUUGAGCCAUCCAUAAGUUAUCUGGGACAUGACAGUCUUUUGAGUGAGAGCAGUUUACUAAGGUCAUUUAGAUCAUCAGUUCCAAAGAUGGUGUGGAUCUUAUCGAUUAUUUUUUUAGGCAGAGGUAAUAUCUGGAAAAUUAAGAGUGAUUUCUAACCAUGAGAAUAUUUUAGUUUGUUUAAAUUUGCUUGCUAACCCAGUACCAAGAAUUCAGACCUUUUUUCUGUCUGUAUAAAGCAAUAUUCUAGACAUUUGAGUGAUUCAAGUAGAUGUUGUGAGAUGAUUACAUUUCCAGUCCUUGGAAUGUUAUGUGGAUUUUAUUGGCUAAUCUUCAUAUUUCAUCAGUGGAUUUUCCUAUGCAUGUUAAGGGAGAUCCUUGUUAAUUGAUGUCUAGGUGGACUUUACGGUUAACCUGAACAGGUCUUGGAAAAAGGACUUUAAACAUUCUCCUGUUCUGUGGAAUAAGUAUACUUUUUUCUGGACAUACACCUUGUCAGUGAGUUCCAUGUGAUACUAGAGUUGCAUAGAUUUUUAACCUUUACGCCAAUGAAGAUCUGAGGCAAACAUUGCCCCUUUUUUAGAAGUUUGCAUUUGUCACUGAUAACUGUAAUAAUUGAUCUUGUUGAAAAGCCUGGGAAAUGAAGAUCUGAUAUGUCACUUUUACCGGCUUCCUCAACUGAAAAAGAAUACAAUGAAACACGCUGAGAAUUUUUGUGCUUUCUCAGUCUUGCUGAUGAUCUUUCUAUGGGCCUGAAGCGUGGAGAGUGCCAGAGAGGCUGAUCCUCAGCAGUGUGGCAGAGGAAAGUUGGGUGCGACUAAGGGGUAUGCGGUGCCCACAUGCCACUGGGUCCUCAGCAGUACCACCUGAUUGGAAGUGAUAUUGGUGGAAGACAACAUUUUGCCGCUUGGAAUUCUCACCUCCACACCAAAGAAGUACUGUUUUUGUCAUUUGCACCAGCUUCUUUCUCCAGGAAAGAUCAAAACGAUGCACUGCAAGGUUAACAUCCAAUUUUUAAUACAUGUAAUUCCCUGGAUUAUUUUUGUUGUGUUAUUAAAUAACUUAGAAUUUUUUUUACAAAGUCUGUUGAACCAAACACUGUAAGGCAUUAAUAACCUGGUGAGUUAUUUGAGGCCUUUUUUCCUCUCCUAGAAUUUUUGCACAAUUUAUAUUUUGAAUAAUAUCAGAGACAUCCUAGUAGAGUAAUGAAUUAGUACAUUUUAUAUGCAGAUACAUAGUGAAGCCUCCUUUCUUAUGCAUAUUUGACAAAUGGACAUGUAUAUUUCUCAUCUUCCCAUAUUUUUACUCCAUUUCCACAGGUCAUGUAGACCAAAAUGUGAAUGUCAUAUGAAAGAGUUUAAACAUUGCCCUUGAAAUAUGACAGAAAGUAUCAGAAAUAAUUAUACCAUUCCAUGCUCACAGGCCAGUGGGAAUUCUCACAGUAAGCAUUUUGUCCAGAGAAUAUUCUUCUUAGGGAACUAUAACAUUCCAAUGAUAAUGGUAGUCAGCCAUGUGGCUGGAUCAUCGUUCCUGUAUCCUGGUCUCUAUGACUUAGUGUGGUGAUGGUGUCAUUGUGUCCAAGUGUGACAGAAUUGUUAGUGUGUAGUGUCUGUCUCCUAUCUCAGGCUCACAGUCCCUUUUAUAAACAUGCCUGGAUUGAUGAUGGCUUCAGUAUCUUUUGGAAAUCUGGACUGAGCAAUAGAAUUGCUUCUCUCAAAUUGAUUUCAAGUCAUAUAAAAGGCCAUGUUACACAUAUAUUGUUAAUCUGAGGGAGGCUGUGAUCAUUUAAGUUGUAUUUUAUAAACACUAGGACCACCAGUAAGAAAACAAUUCAAAAAAUAUUAAAAGAACAACCAAAGAAUUAAAAUAGAAUAACCGAAAAGAUCUGUUUAACACAAAAGAAGGCAGUUAAAGAUGAACAGAGGAACCAAUAAGACAUAUAGAAAACAGAUAGGAAAAUGACAGACAUAAACCCAGCCAUAUGACAAUUAUAUUAAAUUUUUAAGAGAUUAGGAAAUUCCGUUGUUUUUUAAACAUGAGCAACUAUACGCUGUCUACAGAAGAGACACUUUAGAACAAAAGAUACAAAUAGUUGGAAAGUAAAAAGAUGGAAAAAGCUAUAUCCAGCGAAUCCAGAAGAGAGCAGAAGUGGCUAUUCUGACAUCAGAAAAAAGAGACUUUAAGAUAAAGUAUUGCUAGAGAGGAAGAAGGAUAGUAUUUAAUGAUAGAAGGGUUAAUAUGGAAUAUGUAACAAUUACAAUCAUAUCAGCACUAACAACAGUGCCCAAAACUACAUACACUGAAAUUUAACAUGAUUGAGGGGAUCAAUAGGCAAUUCAACAAUAAAAGCUUUUGUUCAUACCCUCUUCUUAAUCAGUGAUAAGUCAAUUAGAUAGAGCAUCAUUGAGGUUACAACAUACUUCAGCAAUGUUGUCAACCAAUUUGACCUGAGAUAGAUAGAUAGACAGUUAGACAGACAGACAGACAGACAGAGAAAACUUCACCCAACAACAGAAAUACAAAUUAUUUUCAAGCAUACCUGGAACAUUCUCCAGGAUAGAGUAUAUGUUAGGCUAUAAAACUGUACUCAAUAAAUUUAAGAUUGAAACCAUGUAGAGUAUGUUGUGUGACCAUAGAGGAAUUAGAAAUCAACACAGAAAUAAAUUUGGAGGUCACAAGAUAUUUGGAAAUUAACACACUUUACAGAGCCCAUUGGUCAAAAAUAUAUAUAUUAAACUAGAAAGGCCGGGGGUGGUUGCUUACACCUGUAAUUCCAGCACUUUGGGAGGCGUAGGUGGGCACAUCACUUGAGGCCAGGAGUUCAAGACCAACCUGGGCAACAUGGCAAAACCCCAUCUCUACAAAAAAAUACAAAAAAUGAGUUGAGCAUGGUGGUGCAUGCCUGUAGUCCCAGCUACUCAGGAGGCUGAGGUAGGGGAAUCACCUGAGCCCAGCAGGUAGAAGCUGCAUUGAACCAAGAUUGCACCACUGCAUACCAGCCUGGGCGACAAAGUGAGACCCUGUCUAAAAAAUAAAAGGAAUCCAGAAAACAUCUUGCAUAGAAUUUGAUACAACUAAAGACAUGCUUAGAGGGAUAUUUAUAGUUUUAAAUAACUGUAUCAGAAAAAAAGGGAAGAUAAAUAAAUGACAUAAGCUUCCACCUUAAGAAACAAGAAAAAGACUAAACUAGAAGAUGAAAUCCAAAGCAAGCAGAAAGAAGUAAACAAUAGGGAUUGGAGCAAAAAUUGAUGACAUAAAAAACCAGACAAAAUACAGAGAAAAAUCCAUGAAACCAAAAGUUGGGUUUGUGCAGAGAUUUGUGAAAUUUACAAUCCUUUAGCUAGACUGACACAGAUCAUUAGAAUUAGGAAUGAUGGAGACAACAUCACUACUGACCCUAUAGAUUGGAUCAGGAAUGUCGCUGUUUGCUGCAUUGUGCUUUCUUGAGGGGAGAGCUAUGAAGGAAAACAAAGUUCUCAUUGCACUUACAACUCAACAACACAGCGUUGACAUUUUGAUUCUCACUGGCUUCAGUGCUCAUCUCUGUGAGGUUUCCAGAAGAUCCCGUAGCAAUAUCACUCAUUCUAAAUUUAUCUUUGGGCUACUCUGGGAACGCUGUCUAUGGGUUAGCCCUGCUCUGCAAGGAGCAGUAAGAAAAUAUAUAUAUAUUUUUUGAGGCUGAGUCUCGCUCUAUCGCCCAGACGGGAGUGCAGUGGCACGAUGUUGGCUCACUGCAACCUCCACCUCCAGGGUUCAAGCGAUUCUCCUGCCUCAGCCUCCCAAGUAGCUGGGAUUACAGGCACGUGCCACCACACACCGCUAAUUUUUGUGUUUUUGUAGAGACAGGGUUUCACCAUGUGGGCCAGGCUGGUCUCAAACUCCCAACCUCAGGUGAUCUGCCCUCCUUGGCCUCCCAAAGUGCAGGGAUUACAGGCAUGAUCCACUGUGCCUGGCAAGUAUGUUUGUAGCCAGUGGGGAAUUAUUUUAACUAGGCAAUAAUUUGAUCUAUUUUGGGAAGCCUCUUGUAAUCAAAUCAUAUAUCAACAUUAAUCACAUGGUGAGUCCUCCAUGGUUUUCAUUCCUAGAGAUUCUAGGAUGUUUGACAUUUCUCUGCUUAGCUUAUAGCAGAAAGGUAUUGGAUAUCAAGAAUGUUUGAACAGUUUCUCCUUUUUGGGAAUGAAGAUGAAAUUGGGCUAGAAUGAGAUGUGUGAUUGAGAGAAUGUCCCUGAGGCCUGAGCAGUGUGUCCUUUUGGGUAUGGGCAUUGGAAGCAUGUAGUGAAUUCUUAUAAUUUUAUGUUGCCUCGGCAUCCAUCUUGAGUAUAAGUUUAACUUUGUUAUACCAGAAGCAAGGCUUACUCACUUUUGCACAGUUUCCAGUUCUACACCUCCUUC